rnacentral:pre_miRNA from 1 species
UAUAUACUCCCUUCGUCCGAAAUUACUUGUCGCAAAAAUGGAUAGAAAUGGAUGUAUCUAGAACUAAGAUACGUCUAGAUACAUCCACUCCUACGACAAGUAAUUCCGGACGGAGGGAGUAUUGA